rnacentral:rRNA from 1 species
GACGAACGCUGGCGGCGUGCCUAAUACAUGCAAGUAGAACGCAGUUGCGAACGGGUGAGUAACGCGUAGGUAACUGCCUCAUAGCGGGGGAUAACUAUUGGAAACGAUAGCUAAUACCGCCUACUGUUAGAUGGACCUGCGUUGUAUUCGCUAGUUGGUGAGGUAAAGGCUCACCAAGGCGACGAUACAUAGCCGACCUGAGAGGGGGAUCGGAGACAGUGGGAGAGGGACACGGGCCAGACUCGGACGGGGAGAAGGAGUAGGGAAUCAUCGGAAAUGGACGGAAGUAUGACCGAGCAACGCCGGGAGGGUUAAGAAGGUUUUGGGAUCGUAAAGAUCUGGUGUUAGAGAAGCGGUAACUAAACAGAAAGCGACGGCUAACUACGUGCCAGCAGCCGCGGUAAUUC